UGAAGUACUGACGGAGCUUCACGUGGAGCAACACAGAGGAGCCUCAGAAGCACCCACCGUGCUGCUGCCUGGAAGAGGCAGACGCGGAAGGCCACACGUUCUACGACCUCAUCUGUGGGAAACGCACAGAGCCGACGGCCGCCAGGGCCUGGGAGGAGGGGCACAGGAGGGCCGGCUAUCGGGAUGGUGUUUCUCCUGCGGGCGGUGGGCCGGAUGACCCACUGCAGCACCACGGGAGUGGACUCAAUGCCGCUGAACUACCUGGACUUUCAAGGGGUAAAUUCCAAGCUCUGCUCUGAGGCCUGACCGUCCCUGGCCGCCAAGCGUCUGCUGACUGAGAGCUCCAGCUCCCGAGAGGUGCCCAGUACCUGGUGAGCAGAGGGUCUGAAGGAGCAGGUGCCUCCUCUUCAGGCACCUGUGGUCACUUCACAGUGAACGAGGCUCCAGCCGGGUGCCCUGAGAAGUGGCCAACACCCUACCCAGGAGAAGACCGCACAGCCACGGCCAACGUGGAGCUCUAACUCAGGGCUCUGGCCUCCAGCCCAGUCCUUUUCCUUGAGUAGGGACGACCUUCACAGUGGCCUCUCCACAUUCCAUGAGUGGGGAGCACGUGUGGUAAUGACAGGCAGCCUGCAGGUGCCUGCUAUGCAUGAGGGCCACGGCCGAUGGAAAGCUCAAUCAUGAGUGAAAAAAAAGAAAGUGUUUCAGAAAAUAUAACAAGUCAGCGGG